rnacentral:rRNA from 1 species
UUUGUUGGAGAGUUUGAUCCUGGCUCAGGACGAACGCUGGCGGCGUGCUUAACACAUGCAAGUCGAGCGGAAAGGCCCUUCGGGGUACUCGA